rnacentral:tRNA from 2 species
ACCAGGAUGGCCAAGUGGUUAAGGUGUUGGACUUAAGAUCCAAAGGAUGUAUGUCUAUGUGGGUUCGAACCCCACUCCUGGUA